rnacentral:rRNA from 1 species
GACGAACGCUGGCGGCGUGCUUAACACAUGCAAGUCGAACGGAAAGGCCCCUUCCGGGGUACACUAAUGGCAAACGGGUGAGUAACACGUGAGCAACCUGCCCUUGACUCUGGAAUAGCAAUUGGAAACAGCUGCUAAUACCGGAUAUGACACGAUCACUCAUGUGGUGGUGUGGAAAGUUUUUCAGUCAAGGAUGGGCUCGCGGCCUAUCAUCUACUUGGUGAGGUAAUGGCUCACCAAGGCUUCCACAGGUAGCCGGCCUGACAGGGCCAACGGCCACACUGGAACUGACAUACUGCCCAUACUCCUACGGGAGGAAUCAUUGGGGAAUAUUGCACAAUGGGCCGAAGCCUGAUGCAGCAACGCCGCGUGAGGGAUGACGGCCUUCUGAUUGUAGACCGCUUACAGUUCCGAUCAAUCGAAAGUGACGAUAAGAACAGAAGAAGGAUCGGCCAAUUACGUGCCAACAUCCGCGGAGAUACAUAGGGUCCUAGCGUUGUCCAGAAUUAUUGAGCGUAAAGGGCUUGUAGGCAGUCUGACUCAUCGGAAGUGAAGACUCACGACUUAACUCUGAGCGUGCUAUUGAUACGGGCACACUACAGCGAUGCAGGGGAGAACGGAAUUCCUGAUGUAGCGUGGGGAUGAGCAAAUAUCAAGACGAACUCCGGUGGGCGAAAGCCGCUCACAUGUCAUUACCUGACGCUGAGAAGCGAAAGCGUGGGGAGCAAACCAGGCUUAGAUACCCCGGUAGUCCACGCNGUAAACGGUGGUCACUAGGUGUGGGGGACAUUCCACGUUCUCCGUGCCGAAGAUAACGCAUUAAGUUCCCCGCGUGGAGAGUACGGCCGCAAGGCUAAAACUCAAAGGAAUUGACGGAGGCCCGCACAAGCGGCGAGAGCAUGCGGAUUAAUUAGAUGCAACGAGAGAGAACCUUACCUGGGUGUGACAUCCUUUGACAACUCUAGAGAUAGAGCUUUCCCCUUCGGGGGACAAACUGACAGGUGGUGCAUGGUUGUCGUCAGCUCCUGUCGUGAGAUGUUGGGUUAACUCCCGCAACGAGCGCCACCCUUAAUCUUAGUUGCCAGCGGGUCAUGCCGGGGAAUCAUAGGAGACUGCCGGGGUCAACUCGGAGGAAGGUGGGGAAGACGUCAAAUCCUCGUGCCCCUUAUGAUUUGGGCUACACACGUGCUACAAUGGGUGGUACAAAGGGGUGCGAUACCGCAAGGUUGAGCGAAUCCCAAAAAGCCAGUUUCAGUUUGGAUUGGGGUUUGCAACUUGACCCCAAGAAGUCGGAGUCGGUAGUAAUUGCAGAUCAGCCACGCUGCGGUGAAUACGUUCCCGGGCCU